UAAAAAUUUAUGAUGAGCUUAUAGUUCAACCGAUUUAGAAUGAAGAGCUAUUUAAAUGUCUUUCGCUCCUAUCUGAUAAUUUCAG